rnacentral:rRNA from 1 species
UACGUAGGGUGCAAGCGUUAAUCGGAAUUACUGGGCGUAAAGCGUGCGCAGGCGGUCCGUUAAGACAGAUGUGAAAUCCCCGGGCUUAACCUGGGAAUGGCAUGGGAAACUGGCGGGCUGGAGUGUGGCAGAGGGGGGUGGAAUUCCGCGUGUAGCAGUGAAAUGCGUAGAGAUGCGGAGGAACACCGAUGGCGAAGGCAGCCCCCUGGGCUAACACUGACGCUCAGGCACGAAAGCGUGGGGAGCAAACAGG